CAGCCGCCGCGGGAAUACAGAGGGUGCGAGCGUUAAUCGGAUUUACUGGGCGUAAAGCGUGCGUAGGCGGCUUCUUAAGUCGGAUGUGAAAUCCCUGAGCUUAACUUAGGAAUUGCAUUCGAUACUGGGAAGCUAGAGUAUGGGAUAGGAUGGUAGAAUUCCAGGUGUAGCGGUGAAAUGCGUAGAGAUCUGGAGGAAUACCGAUGGCGAAGGCAGCCAUCUGGCCUAAUACUGACGCUGAGGUACGAAAGCAUGGGGAGCAAACAGGAUUAGAUACCCCCGUAGUCCCUGUCUCUUAUAC
rnacentral:rRNA from 1 species